rnacentral:rRNA from 1 species
AGUGAACGCUGGCGGCAGGCCUAAUACAUGCAAGUCGAACGGCAGCACAGUGGAGCUUGCUCCAUGGGUGGCGAGUGGCGGACGGGUGAGGAAUACAUGGGAAUCUGCCCAGUCGUGGGGGAUAACGUAUGGAAACGUACGCUAAUACCGCAUGCGCCCUUCGGGGGAAAGUCGGGGACCGCAAGGCCUGACGCGAUUGGAUGAGCCCAUGUUCGAUUAGCUAGUUGGCGGGUAACGGCCCACCAAGGCGACGAUCGAUAGCUGGUCUGAGAGGAUGAUCAGCCACACUGGAACUGAGACACGGUCCAGACUCCUACGGGAGGCAGCAGUAGGGAAUACUGGACAAUGGGCGCAAGCCUGAUCCAGCCAUGCCGCGUGAGUGAAGAAGGCCCUCGGGUUGUAAAGCUCUUUUGUUGGGGUAAGAAAAGCAGUUGGUUAAUACCGAUUGUUCUGACGGUACCCAAGAAUAAGCACGGCUAACUUCGUGCCAGCAGCC